UGACGGUACCGGAAGAAUAAGCACCGGCUAACUACGUGCCAGCAGCCGCGGUAAUACGUAGGGUGCGAGCGUUAAUCGGAAUUACUGGGCGUAAAGCGUGCGCAGGCGGUUUUGUAAGACCGAUGUGAAAUCCCCGGGCUUAACCUGGGAACUGCAUUGGUGACUGCAAGGCUUGAGUAUGGCAGAGGGGGGUAGAAUUCCACGUGUAGCAGUGAAAUGCGUAGAGAUGUGGAGGAAUACCGAUGGCGAAGGCAGCCCCCUGGGUCAAUACUGACGCUCAUGCACGAAAGCGUGGGGAGCAAACAGGAUUAGAUACCCUGGUAGUCCACGCCCUAAACGAUGUCAACUGGUUGUCGGGUCUUCAUUGACUUGGUAACGUAGCUAACGCGUGAAGUUGACCGCCUGGGGAGUACGGUCGCAAGAUUAAAACUCAAAGGAAUUGACGGGGACCCGCACAAGCGGUGGAUGAUGUGGAUUAAUUCGAUGCAACGCGAAAAACCUUACCUACCCUUGACAUGUACGGAACCCUGCUGAGAGGUGGGGGUGCCCGAAAGGGAGCCGUAACACAGGUGCUGCA
rnacentral:rRNA from 1 species